CGACGACGGCACCAUUAAGGUUCCUGCUAGCACCGAAGACUCAGAUUUCGAGGGCCCUGAGACAGAUAUGUAUGUUUUGUGCCAUGGACACGGGAAGGCAGCAGAAAGGUGUGUUGCUUUCGAAGGGAUUCACACUGGCAGGAGGUUUCUUUGUUGUGCAGAGAAGGAAGGUAAAAACUGUGGACUAGUAGAAUGGAUUGAUCCAUCUUGGCCCACUACCCUUGAGAAUGCACUGU